GACGAACGCUGGCGGCGCGCCUAACACAUGCAAGUCGAACGAGCGAGAGGGAGCUUGCUUUCUCGAGCGAGUGGCGAACGGGUGAGUAACGCGUGAGGAACCUGCCUCAAAGAGGGGGACAACAGUUGGAAACGACUGCUAAUACCGCAUAAGCCCACGGGUCGGCAUCGACCAGAGGGAAAAGGAGCAAUCCGCUUUGAGAUGGCCUCGCGUCCGAUUAGCUAGUUGGUGAGGUAACGGCCCACCAAGGCGACGAUCGGUAGCCGGACUGAGAGGUUGAACGGCCACAUUGGGACUGAGACACGGCCCAGACUCCUACGGGAGGCAGCAGUGGGGAAUAUUGCACAAUGGGGGAAACCCUGAUGCAGCGACGCCGCGUGGAGGAAGAAGGUCUUCGGGAUUGGUAAACUCCUGUUGUUGAGGAAGAUAAUGACGGUACUCAACAAGGAAGUGACGGCUAACUACGUG
rnacentral:rRNA from 1 species